rnacentral:rRNA from 1 species
GAUGAACGCUGGCGGCGUGCUUAACACAUGCAAGUCGAACGGUGAACCCGGAGCUUGCUCUGUGGGAUCAGUGGCGAACGGGUGAGUAACACGUGAGCAACCUGCCCCUGACUCUGGGAUAAGCGCUGGAAACGGCGUCUAAUACUGGAUAUGUGACGUGACCGCAUGGUCUGCGUUUGGAAAGAUUUUUCGGUUGGGGAUGGGCUCGCGGCCUAUCAGCUUGUUGGUGAGGUAAUGGCUCAUCAAGGCGUCGACGGGUAGCCGGCCUGAGAGGGUGACCGGCCACACUGGGAUUGAGACACGGCCCAGACUCCUACGGGAGGCAGCAGUGGGGAAUAUUGCACAAUGGGCGAAAGCCUGAUGCAGCAACGCCGCGUGAGGGAUGACGGCCUUCGGGUUGUAAACCGUUUUUAGCAGGGAAGAAGCGAAAGUGACGGUACCUGCAGAAAAAGCGCCGGCUAACUACGUG